GGCAGCUGUAAAUACGAGGAAUUUUAUUUUAUUUUUUGCUGACAUACUAUGAGGCAAAACAAAAUUGACACCAUACAAAAUAACUUUAUAAAAUAUCAUUCACAUCAUAUUUUAUCAGAUUUACAGCAUUCUGUGCAUGUUAAGGGUUAUGUAAGGAGGUGAAAAAACACUAUGCCAAACUUUUAGUAUUAGUUUAUAUACACACAAUAAGAAACAAAACAAGUAACUGUUAGGUUUUCCAUGAAUUUAUUGCAAAAAUAGUGCAAACUACUUAACCUAGUAAGCUGUAAAACAAACUCGAAAGGACCCAGCUAAGCUUAAACACGACAAUAGAUGCUCAGUGUCUCAGCCUGUAGCUUUCUUCACCAGUUUGUCUUUGUCAGUCAAGACCACUCCCCAUCUGUUCAGUUGAGGGCGAGUGCUGGGGAACAGAGAUGUGUGAAGACUGGCUCUUCAGAGGCCAGAUCGAUGCGGCUGCCUGGUGCCAGCAAUACCUUUAGGGUCAUGCUACUUACUUACUCAAUGGCAAUUUGGUGAGGUCUGUGUGGAAAAUUGGAAGAUGCCAUGAUAUUUAAAUCUGACUUUAGAAACAAGUUGUCCAACCUCUUGAUGAAAUGGAGAAAAGAAUUAAGAAAGCAGCAUGAACAGAAAGGACUGGGAACAUUAUUGUCUGCUUAUAAACAUGGUAUCCUUUUCUCAGGUGUAUCUGGGUAAAGUAUUCAUCUACGGGUGGGCAACCUUUGAACCAGAGAGUUAAAAAAAAAAAAAAAAAGUUACUGUAUCCCUACAAGAGUAACUUUAAAAUCUCUUUCAACAGUCUAUUGGGGUCCAAAAAGCAUAUAUCUAAACAAAAUAAUACAAGCAGAACAUAACGCUACGUCUAAAAGCUAAAGAAACAAGAUGCAGCAUAUUCAGGCUCUUUUUCUUGAGGUACCUACAUAAAUUUCAUUACCUGCCCCAAAGUACUCAUGUUAGGUAAAAAACAAAAUGCUUACUGGUGAGCCAAUUGUAGGGCAUCUAUUAUUAUUGAGAAAGUGCAACAACGCUGAUCUUUAUAUGCAGCAUACUAAAGGAUGAUUUACUCUUUACAAAAUAUAGCUUAAGUAUCGACCUGAUGGAAGUUUAAAAAUUAAAAACAUUUAACUAGAAUCAUCCCAUUUUUGUUUGAGAUCCUGCAGCAAAAAGCCUCCCCAGAAUCAACUUUCAAAGUUUUGCCACUAAGGAAUGUUGGUUCUCUUGUAAAAUUCAGAGAUCUCUUUAAAAUAGUAAAACUAUACACUACAGGAAAGAUCCCUAAUUUUUAUUUCUUAUUGGUAUAAAAUCAAAUUCUUAAGACUCCAAAAUAUUGUGUUACCUCCAAAGAAUUACAUUAAAAAAGACUGCCACAGUAGGAAAAGUCUAGACUUGUAAACUGCCAAAUAUAAAAGCAUGGAAAGUCAUCGAUCUCCUAUCUUAUUUUCUCACCUGCCAGAAAGCUUUCGUAACUUACAGAACCCCGGGGCGAGGGGGGGGUUCUCACAGCACCCCCCGCCCCCCAGACGGCCAAGGGUUCUCCCCUCCUCUGUCAAGUUCACCAACACCCCCACCAGGAGGUAGGAAAAGAUGAAACCGACAACCAUCCAUCCGCUGCUUAUGAAAUCAACUCAUAAAGGCUGCCAGAGGGACGGGGGCACUGGAGGUGAGAAAAAGCAAUGACGGGUAUUUGUGAGUGUUUUGGCCGCCCCUCCACUGGCACAGAAAAUGAAGUGAGAGCUACAAAUAUAUGCAUAGAAGAGUUUGGAAUUUGCCUGUAAAAUGUCGAGUUUGCUCUUGGACAUAAUUCUUUUUUUUUCCUUUCACAAAAGGGCAGUUGGGAUUCCAAUAUAUGUUAGCAGUUGGCUGGGGUGUUCUAUCAAAUUCCAUGGCCAAUUGGGCUUUUUCUCCCCACAUACAAUAUAAAACAUUUAAAUUCCAUACUGAUUUUUUCAAUGCAUUAGGAUUCAACACAAAAGGCACAAAAUAAAUAAAAGUAUUAUUAAAUAAACAGAAAUUAUGAUUUCAAGCUUUGUUUGGAGUUACAGCUCACUGUUUCGUUACUUUUUCCGAUUUAAUUUGACAGACUUAGUAAAUAGCACCCAACUGUUUAACUGAGGUAGAUCCACAUUGUAAAGAAAGCUGGGUCCCCUCCAUUUUAUGUCUAAAUUGAAGAUGCUUUUACAAAAACAAAAAUCCAUUUAAUCAUGUGCAGAAGCAAUGACAGGUGGUACUACCUGAAGAAAACUGAGAACAGGAGCAGGUCUGCAAAGAAGAUUUAUGCCCAAAUGAUACUCUCCAUCGGCUAUAAAUAAACCUCAGAAGGAGGGAAAAAAAAAAAAACAUCAAACAUUAAACAGAACCCUGAAAAAGUCUCAAGACUUUUAGAAUGGUCUUUUUGACUGACUGCCACAGAAAUGCACAAUGGUCCAUUUUCAUCAAGCAAUGGCAACAGCCAAGCCAGACCAGAAAUUGGGGGUGCGGGGGUGGGGGUCAGAGAGAGAAAGAGGGAGGGGGAGAGCGAGAGGUCUGUAUCACUGAAAGUUUCCCUUUGUAACUCUGGAGAAAAGACUUGUUGAAUUAUGAUAUAGCAUCUCGAAUCCGAACAGGUUAAAUUCAUUCUGCCUAAUAUUUUUGCAUACUCUGAAACUUAUACAAGUUUAACAUCUGAUUAAGGCUUAAUUUAAAGUGGCAUCACCACCUAGCAUCAUGCAAGCAUUGGGCAUCCUCAAAACACACAGAAUGGCAUUUAACUAAAGACAAGGACAGGAAGCCUCAGAAUCGUAUUUAGCAGGUAUUGUAAUUUUAUGUUUAAUUUUACAAUUCAUGUAGCAAAUGAAAAGUUAUACAGCGAGGCCAAUGUUUAUAAAUACUAGUUUAUAUAGGAACUGUCAAUUUACACAACAGCACUGCACGGUUUCUAUACCGCAAGCACAAGACAUGGUCACACAGACCCACCAUACAGGUAAACACGUCCGCAGACAGCAGGCGGAGCACCACCCGAAAUGGGGCCCUUGUAGCUGCUUAGCUUCUUAGAAAAGAGUAAACUUUAAACGACCAUAAUACAUUUUGAUUCAAAAUGUCUUCUAAUUUUUUUUGGGGGGGUGGGGGAAAAUUAAGAAGAACAAGGUCUACCUAUAGAACGUUUGAAUUCAUUUUUGGUUUUUUCAAUUAUUUUAUAAAAAUAAAAUAAAACUAGAAAAGUUGAUAAAACUCAGGGUUAAAGCCCCUCAAUACAUAUUAGGUAAGUCAUCUGAAAUGUACCAGAGGUAAGAAAAAAUCUGGAUUUAGACACUACAUUCUUUUCUUGUAUUUAAUGAGUAAUUAGCCACUUUGCUGCACAGAAACUUACAAUUAUUCCCUUAAAACUUCUUAAAAAGUAAAAACUCACUUGCCUGUACAGUUACAAAACAUGAAUUUAUACCUUCAACAACUACAUUUAAAAUUCACACUAGCAAACUCAGGAGUCAAAUCUCACUUUCGGGCUAAACUACAGACUUGCGGGAAUUCAGUCAUGGGUGUAUUUGGCUUUGAAGAGGAACCCAGUCGGUCCUGCACAGCCUCUGCUGCCGCCGGCACCUCUGCAAGGAAAGGGCUGCUGCCCUUCAGAGUGGGGGCCCGGGGAGCAGCCACCACGAAGGCUUUGCUAGACAUUCUAAAACAAGUAACACUGGAUUAUCUCCCCCACUCAACAAAACCAAUAAGAUCAUUCCUCGAUGGGGAAGGGUGGUUUUUAAUUAGACCAUCAGCCAAGAAAAACUGCUCAACACCUGCCUUGGAAACGUCAGAGCUAAGACCUGCAUUUUCGAGACGUCAAAACCGGAGUCCCGCGUGCACGGCUCCAGGUGACAGCACCCCCGAGGAGGAAGCAGUUUCCCCGCACACGGGGAACGGCCGAGAGAAGCCCUCCAAAGGACGGGAAUGGAAAUAGCACCUCACAACCGAGGACUCCACGCUCGUUUUACAAAGACACAAUGCCGAUUCCAGCACCUUCCUUCUAAAAGCUUGGUUCCAUCACACUCGCUACUCUUGCUGAGUGACCACGAGAACAAACCCCCCGGGUGCCGAUGGUCAGUCGGUGCCUGCCUAAGAGGUGGGUCCUGCUCCCUUUCCUGGAAGCACAGCAGCCGUGGACUUGCUCAGGGCCCGGGGAAAGCCUGCAACUAGAACCCAGCAGCUUCCGAGAGGAGGCAGUGCAUCCGGAGUCGAGGAGCAGGAGCAGCUGCCAAGGCAGAGGGUCAGUGACCGACGGUGACACAGGACAGCAGCCCCAGCAUGGCUCCAGGAGGACGCUGAGGACCGGGCCUGAAAGGGCCUUGGAUUUGAAGAGAACAUUUUGCUUUCAAACCUUGGAUCACUGUAAAGUUUGGAGUGACAGUAACUCAAGGUUCCCACGCCAAAGGUCAAUGACGUCGGCAUUGCGUUUUGAAACCAUGCAGUCCACGCAGCAUGCGCACGAGCGUCAGUGUGUGAGCACCUUUGCGGUUUCCGAGCGUACAAAGAGGGGACAGCGAGGAAGGGCCAUUUGCAACCCAGUCGUAAGGAAAGCGGGAGCAAAAAGGGCAUUCUUCGGGCAAAGAGGAAAGUGAAAAGCCAGGAAGGCAGCUCGUCUCCAGGUCCGGCCGCCCCACGGCCCCGCCGCGGACAGUGCAGAGGCCCUCUCGUUUCACGCCUGCUGCUGGCCACUCAGAGGGCUAGACGCGCGGAGCUGGGCGGCCCUGACAGCAGGGGAUGGAGGGGACUGCCCGUGGGUCACAGUAUGGCACACGGUUUUCAAGCCAGAACCGGACAGAGAGAUAGAUGUUCACAAUUCAGUUUAUUCAGGCAACGUUUUGGCUAUUUUCAGUGUGGAUAGCUCCGCUGAAAAGCAAACGUGAAACUAUUGAGAAUUCAGAGGUAGCCUUUAUCUGCAUUUAUUUUUAAUCUAAAAGGUAUUUAGAAACCAGCUUCUGUAGUGAUAUGGCUGAGCCAAUACAUUCACUUUAGACACUAAAAUGGCAAAACAUCCAAAAAAGCAUUAAGGGAGGGCACGGAGAUGGCACCAACGUGACAGUCACACACACUCGGGUGAACGGUUUGGGUGUAAAGGCCCCUUUGUGUGUCUGAUGCUGGGCUGCCUGACCACAAACAGAGCGACACCCUGUGGGCUGGAGACACACUUCAAAUCUGGCAAAUGGCAAGGCCGAGAGGAACAGCACUGGACUUGAGGUCUGCCCAGCAUCUAUGGGCUAAGCCACAAAGGAUGGGUCUGACCCCACAGCGACCUCAUGGCUUUAGUAUGACGGCUGACCCAAGAGAAGCCAGGGAGGCCCCAGCUCUCUAGGAACAUGGGCCAUUCAGACGCUUCCUGCCCACGCUGUCAAAUGCUGGACGGAGCUCGAAGCAAAACGCUUUAGGGAGUCACGGCAAAUGACAAGGAAGCCAACAGACCAAAAGUGUUCCACGGAGUGACAGUGACUCCUCUUAGCAUGAACCCUUCGGACGGCAGGGAGCGCACGCUCUCUCCUUCCAGAAGACGGCAACUUGCUUUCAGGGAAAGACAGCAAGGACGAGGAGGCUCGACUGUCCUUCGUGCCUGGUCAGCAGACACGGCUGGAGAGGGGAAGGGCGGCGCCGGUCCACGAGCUCCGGCGCAAAAUGCUGAGCAGACGCGGCGGUCUCGCGAAACAAAGCAACGCGCUGCGGUCACGUCAUUUCUGCUAUCCUACCUCUAUUUACAAUCGUGUCAAACGGGUACAGCAGAGGCCAGGUUGGACGUGAUAAAAAAGCAAGCUGUCACAAAAUCAGUGCAAUUAUUUUGAGUUGAGAGUUUUCCUUACCAAAAGUUUCAGUGUGUGUGUAACACGGACACAGCCCUAUCACAAAGUCACACGUGCACUUGCCUACACUGAACAACGUCACAGCAGCCAAAACUGCUGGCACGGCAGCCAGAGAGAGAUUCAUGGUUGCUUCGGGGGGAGGGCUGAAGAUACAAACACCAUAUUCGCAUCUGCAAGUGAGGGGCACGAACACUGAGGAAGUUUCUACCUACUGUACAUUCCUUUUCUCAGGAGCGUGAGAGAUGAGUGAGCGGAGGUCACAGGAAAAUGUCUAUGGCUUGUCUGGGCCACUGGGAUUGUCCACUGUCUGGAUUACGUCAACGUCUAAAGCUCCCAACGGAACUUCCUUAAGAGGUGUAGGAAAAUGCCCAUGAAAAAUCUUCCUAACUGCCCAAGAGAUCAAAGUCCCACUGAAGAAGCCCAUCUGGAUGCUGACAGACGGCUCGGUGGGACAAGCCCCGUGCGUCCACAACGCGGAGCGACCGAGAGAAGCCAGCCCAGCCUCCCAAGGCCUCCUGGAGACAGUCUGGUGUCCCAACUGCACGGCGCU
rnacentral:lncRNA from 1 species